GUACUGAUGAAGAGUCCCAAACUAGGACGAAACGGAUGUCCAGUAU
rfam:Trichobilharzia regenti genome assembly, scaffold: TRE_scaffold0079390